GCGGAGACCGGACCGCGGAGCGGAUUUGACGGCUGUUCGUUCAUUUUUACAGCCGCACUCGGGCUCCAUGGAGCUCCCUGCAGAACCUCAACCGUCUGUCCGGACACUUCUCUCACUUUCCCGGCGGUGUUUGUGAACUUUUGGCGGCUAUGGGCCCGCAGUGGACGGACACGGUCGCUCCGGUACGGCAUGCAAAUACGUACUGUGACGUCGACGAUCAUGUGGCUUUUGGCGUAGAUCCUCCUUUAUAUCGCCAAUUUUUUUUCCUUCCCUGUCGCCUGUUGUCUGCUCGGAUAUCAGGCCGUCGUCAGUGUCGAAGGCGUCACAUUUGUCUGGUUUUUGCCGUUUUUUGGGGGGAGGACUCUGCGGGAUUACAGUUUCACCGCCGCACCUGAGCAUCGCGUCUGAACGGUGAGCAGGCAAGAUCCUGUCAUGCCGUUCCUGGAGUUCGACCAGCAGUGGAGCUGACAUAGCGAGUCCAGCUUACGUCAUGCAUCAGCAGACACACCGCUGCUAGGCCUUCACCUUCCACAGCCUUCCUGCCUCCACCUCUCAUCCUGUCCCACAAACGUGUGCUGUUCUUGCACCUUCUUCUGAUGUAAAAGCUGUCUGACACAAAACUAAAAAGUCCCAUUGGGUUUUUGUUAUCAAGUCCUGGACUCUGACACAUAGAUACAGUUCGUCCCAUAGAAUUCAGCAAGUUACAUGUACCACACCUGAGCUGUCCAUCAGGAUAAACCCACAACCCAUCAUCUCCAUCAUCAUGUCAAGUCGAAGGAAGGCAUCCACACCCUGUAUGAUUCGACCAGAGCAGACUAUGGUGGAGCUAGAUGAUGAUACAGAGGAGUCACAUGACAUGGAGAAAACUGUGGAGAACCAUAUAGAGGAGGAAGCCAUGGAGAUGAAUCUCUCAACAGAGACCAACCCCUGUGUGGACUUGGAAGUAACGAACAAGGCAUCUGAUUCUCCCGCAGCCCCGGACAAGACAGAGCCGCCAGACCUUUCCGAGCCACCGCGUAAACUGCAGGGGGGCUACGAGUGCAAAUAUUGCCCCUUCUCAACACAGAACCUGAACACGUUCAAAGAACACGUGGACUCAAACCACCCGAACGUCAUCCUCAACCCUCUGUAUCUGUGCGCCGUCUGUAACUUCAACACCAAGAAGUUUGAUACCCUGACAGAGCACAACGAGGGGGCUCACCCCGGGGAGAGUAACUUUAAGUUCAAACGCAUCAAACUGAACAAUCAGACCAUCUUAGAGCAGACCAUAGAGGGCUGCAGCAAUAACGCCGUGAUUUACAGUACCUCCAGCGGCGUUUCCGGUAAAACGGACGAAACUGAAACUCUGCCGCAUGGCAAAUCCACAGCAGUUAAGAUUGGUAAACCAAAAGUAAUGGCAUCAGAUCAUAAGUGGACGGAUGCUCAGGUGGGUAAGCUGACCACCGAUUUGGUGACCAAGUCAAUCACAGCGGUCAGCGUUAACGGGACAGUCAUCAUCCCUGAGUCGACGCUCCUGAAAGCAGACAGUCUUUCUCAUAUCAUGCCUUCCCUACAGCGACCUCUAAACUAUACCCAGGUACCGAAGAUCGCUGUUCCCCUCAAUACGACCAAAUACAACCCCUCACUGGACGACAACCUGACGCUCAUCUCUUCCUUCAACAAAUUUCCUUACCCGACACAAGCAGAGCUUUCGUGGCUCACUGCAGCAUCCAAACAUCCAGAGGAGCAAAUCAAAGUCUGGUUUACCACACAGAGGCUCAAACAGGGCAUCAGCUGGUCACCCGAGGAGGUGGAGGAAGCCAGAAAGAAAAUGUUUAACGGUACAAUCUCCUCUGUGCCACAAACUUUCACCGUGGUAAAGCCUCAGCCCAACUCCCAGUCGUCCAACAAGUCGUCUCCAGCCACGGCGGCGUCCAAAGCUGCAGCUUCAGUCCUGCAGUCAUUACCCUGUCAGCUCCUCGGACAGACCAGCCUGGUGCUCACUCCUGUUGCUGAUGGCUCUGUCACUUGUGCGCCAUUGACGUUCGCUUUGGCGAAUCAGGUCGUGCCCUCGCUCAAACGGCCGCUGGCGUCUCCAAUAAUUGCUGCAGAGACUAAACGACCCUCAAUCAUUCAGACCAUCCCGACAUCUGUGGCCAGCUCCAAACUGGUAUCAUCCAAAGUUCUGAGCUUCACCGUUGACCCAAAUAAGACAGCUGAGCAGUUAGCCGUACUGAGGAGCAGCUACACACAGUGUCCGUUCCCUGAGGAAGAUGAGAUCUACAGGCUGAUAGAGACCACCGGGCUGUCCAGAGGCGAGAUAAAGAAGUGGUUCAGUGAACAAAGACUCCUUAACCUCAAAGGUGUUCCUGCUCCGCCGGUGUUGGUGAAAGCCGAGGCGAGUCCACCUAAAGAUGGUCCCAUAAAGAAAGUGGUGCCCAGUCAGUUUCCACUGCUGGAGAGGAUGAAGGGGAAGUCCUCGGAGCAGCUGACGGCGCUGGAGGAGAGUUUUCAGAGGAGCAGCUCUCCAGCUGAGGCAGAUCUAGACCAGCUGGCCCAGCAGACCAGGCUCUCCAAGACCGAGGUGGACUGCUGGUUCUCGGAGCGCAGAGCACUGAGGGACAACAUGGCGAAAGCGUUACUCAGUGUGACCUCACGGCAGGCGGAGGAGCGGGCGGAGCGUGCCGGAGCGCUGCUGAACGGAGCGUCGCACCUCAAGCAGGACAGGAAAAGUCUGCGCUCUCCUCCUCACCCGCCUGUCCUCUCCUCCUCGUCUUCAUCGUCCUCCCCUCCUGUGCUCGCAGCCUCGUCCCCUCAUCCACCGGCUCUCUGCUCCCCGGCAUCGCCUCCUGUUCUCACCUCCUCCUCCUCCUGCUCUCCUCAUCCUCCCGUCCUGUCGGCCUCCACGAGUCCAACGCCCAUCACCAGCCGCUCGCUCACGCUGCUCAGAGAGAUGUUCUGUCGGACCCAGUGGCCAUCCCCUGAAGAGUACAGUCAGCUGGAGGCCCAAACGAGUCUGGGACGCACCGACAUUGUCCGCUGGUUCAAGGACCAUCGCUCAGUGCUGAAGAACGGUGAAACUCUGGACUGGAUGGAAAGCUUCCAAACCCAGAAUCACCUGGUUGGGCUGCAGAAUUCCAGUCAGGAACAGAACGGACCCAGUUCAGAGCAAAGUCCUCCUGCAGAAGACACGAGUGUGAAAGCGUAUGGUGAAGGAGAGGACGACUGUGACAAAACGGGGGCGGUGGAGCGCCCCCUGCUGUCCGAUCAAGAUACUGUGCGGUGGGUCUCUGACAAACUGAGCCACAGUGUGACGGACCUGAGCUGGGCCAGACCGGAGCUGACCGGCUCCAACGCUGCUGACAAAGGGAGGUGGGUGAAGGUGACGUUGGCGGUGGAGGAGGACGGCGAUGGCAUGGAGACCGCACGGCUGGCAGCAGACACUGAGGCUCUGAACGCAGAGCACACGGGGCGGGUUACCGCCUGACGGUACGUCGCUUUGAUGAAAUCUUCCUUUAAGAAGCCACAGCUGCAGGACGUUAUUAACGUCUGCUGCACGUUGCCCACCAUCAUCCACAACAUGGACUUUGUCUGACGUGGUCCACACACCCAUACCGGAGGAGUGCCAAAGCUGGACUUGAUACGUUGUUCUUGCUCCUGCUGCUUGUUUCUUUUAAAGCACUUGUAAAUAUGUUUGUUUUGCAACAGAAAAAGACAGACUUGCUGAAAAUGUACAGUUUUAUUGGGUGAGCUUUUUUUUGUUGUUUUUGUCUGCUGCCCGAAAACCUGGAAUGUGUUCUUUUGUAUGUCCUUUUGACAUCAAAGUGUAUAAUAAUAAUCAUCAUCCAAAUAGCUUUUUGCUGAAAAUGUGUCCUAUUUUUGAAAAAUGUAAUGUUGGCACUAAUCAGACAUUGAUGGCACUUGCAGAUGUUCAUGUGUUGGUAAGAGUUGUUCACACAAACGGUCACGUCAUCUCCACAAUAGCUCUUUGAAGGUCUAAGUUUCUGCCGUAGCAUCGCUGCUCAGUCAGCCUGACAAAGCUGAUGAAAUCAAACUGAUGAAUGACUACACUCUAACACCCCGAGCAAUGCAGCAGGUCAGUUUAGUCACUGCACCUGCAAGUCUUGCACCUCUACGGAAAAAGGACGGUCAUGGCUGCAAGUGGAGAGAAAUCUGUUGUGCAGAAUGUCGUAAAUCUUAGUCAAAUAUAUUUUGCAUAAGCUUCAAAUUACUUGCAAGUGCCCAAAAAUAUUCCCAAAUACUUGGGAUAAAAAGGGACUCUAUAUGCUUCACUUAGACAAGUACUGUUCGGUCCACAAGUAUUUGGGCAAUGGCAAUUUUUGUUAUUUUAAAGAUACUUUAGGUUGAAUGAGUUCUAACCCCAGUUUAAACAGCUAACCGUUGAAUGUCUGCUGCUGCUGUUUCGAAGUAUGUGAGGUACUUGUACUCCCACUUCAGGUCUGCUGGAGCUCAAUAGAUGCACAAAUCCUGUCAUCACCAGAAUGAAUUACAAUGGAGCAAAAUAAAUCAUGUGGUGGCCAAA